rnacentral:rRNA from 1 species
CCCCUAGAUGUUCUGGGCCGCACGCGCGCUACACUGAACAGUUCAACAAGUCUUAACCUUGGCCGAUAGGUCUGGGUAAUCUUUGAACGCUGUUCGUGAUUGGGAUAGACCUUUGCAAUUAUGGGUCUUCAACGAGGAAUUCCUAGUAAACGCAAGUCAUCAGCUUGCAUUGAUUACGUCCCUGCCCUUUGUACACACCGCCCGUCGCACCUACCGAUUGAAUGGUCCGGUGAAAUCUUCGGAUCUGAGAGAUGUCUGAUUAAUUUCGGACGCCUUUUGGAAAAGUUGUUUAAACCUUACCAUUUAGAGGAAGGUGAANUCGUAACA